rnacentral:rRNA from 1 species
UACAUAGGUCCCAAGCGUUGUUCGGAUUUACUGGGCGUAAAGGGUGCGUAGGCGGUCGGGUAAGUCUGCUGUGAAAUCUCCGGGCUCAACCCGGAAAUGGCAUUGGAUACUAUUCGGCUAGAGAGUUGGAGGGGGGACUGGAAUUCUUGGUGUAGCAGUGAAAUGCGUAGAUAUCAAGAGGAACACCAGUGGCGAAGGCGAGUCCCUGGACAACUUCUGACGCUGAGGCACGAAAGCUAGGGGAGCAAACAGG